CAACCCUCAGGCCCCUAGCUGGUCUGGCGUUGGGGCAUCUGCGGCCCGCAGGCCCUGAAAGACAGUGGCGGUACCCACUAGCACCCCGGGCGCAGUAGAUGUAUUUCUCGCCUAGGAUGUCUAGCGGGUUGGCCGGCCAUAAAACUCCCUAAUCUUCGGAA
rnacentral:misc_RNA from 1 species